rnacentral:rRNA from 1 species
UACGGGGGGUCCAAGCGUUGUUCGGAAUCACUGGGCGUAAAGCGCAGGUAGGUGGCUUUUCAAGUCUGUUGUGAAAGCCCAGGGCCUAACCCUGGAAGUGCAGUAGAUACUGUUAAGCUUGAGUAUGGGAGAGGAUAGUGGAAUUCCUGGUGUAGUGGUGAAAUACGUAGAGAUCAGGAGGAACACCGGUGGCGAAGGCGGCUAUCUGGCCCAAUACUGACACUGAGCUGCGAAAGCGUGGGGAUCAAAC